UUGAAUAACAUUUUGUCUAAAAUUUUUGUAGUAUUUUUACUGAAAUUUGACCUAUAUCUUCUAAGAUAUGAAAUUUGACCUUUAUAUAUCCAACAAUGCAGAUGAUUCGCGCAAGCUUCAUCACAUCUGGCAUUGCUCUCAGCUGUUAGGGCUCGAGUUGAAUGGUGCAAAUAAUCAAAGGAUUUUGACUCCAGAAUAUACUGCUGAUAGAGAUCUUGUAGACUUGUUUGGUGUGGAUUCUCUUGAUGAGUUUCAGACUUUAAGAGGGCAAUAGACAACAAGAAAUCAGUUCCAACUUGUCAUAUUUUGAUCAUUAAUAGUCCCUUCUUUUUAUCAUUGCUUUGUAUACCAAUGCAUUUUAUCGUCAUCUAUUGUUGUAAAGAACAUGUGUGCUUCCUGAACAUAUGUUUUGUACAGA